UCAGGAUAAAGAAGAUGAUGUGAAAGUUGGUGUUAAAUCUACAGCUUUAAGAUUUGGCGAUUCAACCACGAAGUGGAUUACUGGGUUUGGAAUUGCAUGCAUCAGUAGUCUUGCUCUUAGUGGAUAUAAUGCUGAUAUUGGGUGGCCAUUUUAUGCAUUCUUGGCGGCUGCAUCAGGACAAUUAGCUUGGCAGAUAUGGACGGUUGACCUAUCUUCUCGUGCUGACUGCAACAAGAAGUUUGUCUCCAACAAGUGGUUUGGGGCUCUUAUUUUCAGCGGGAUUUUAUUUGGAAGAAUUUGUUCUUAGAGGUAAAGAUAGAAGAUGAAGUAAACAGUAAUCUACAUUAGCAGAUUUCGUUGUUGUCGAUCAACCCAUAACUAGAUCCUGGAAAUUGGUCAUGCCAUGCUGACCUAGGAUUCUCAGGCGCUUAUGCCCCAAGGUGAGAAUAACGGUACUUUGGUAUGGCAGUCUUUUGAAGCAAUAUAGCAUAUCCUCUGUCUAUUUGGAACUGACUAGCAUUUGGUGUUGCUGAUCGUACAAUAAAGAAAGAUAAGUACCCUAAGUUAAUCGGUUUACUUCUUAAACUUCCCAAUAUUUUAGGCAAA